GCCUCCUGCCUCUGCCGUCCAGAGGAAGAAAGGCCCCCAAGAAGCCUCCCUCCCGGCCCCACUUAAACCCAAGCCACUCACUUAGAGGCUAUUAGAGGGGCGAAUUAAUCCCUUCCGCGGCGAGUGAUUAAAUCCAGAUAAUUACACCGAAUCGGUAAGUAAUCAUUCGUUAUCUCAGCUAAUUACGUCGGGUCAGGAGGAAUCCUCCCCGGGAAAAUUGAAAAUUAACGCUGAGUCCUGGGUCGGGGGAAAGAGGGAGGAGGAGGAAGGAAGGAAGGAAACCCCCUUUUUCUCUCUCCAAAGGGGAUGAAGGAGAAGGAGGAGAACGCCUCGAAGGAAAGAAAGAAGGGAGAGACUGAUGGUCGCCUUGCUUCCCCAACAUAGGAAGCGAAGAGAAAAGCAACCUUCUCUGUUACUGAAUAUUCAUCCUCUGAGUAUUAUCCCAGCUCAUCACACCUAAGUUUUUGCUGGUUAUGACGUUUACUUCUGGUACUCUGCUAUAUUUAUGGAUUUUUAUUUAGUGUCAGGAGCGACUUGAAAAACUGCAGGUCGCUUCUGAUGUGAGAGAAUGGGCCGUCUGCAAGGACGUUACCCAGAGGACGCCUGGAUGAGAGAAGCCUCAUACCAUCCUUGUGGGAGGGUUCUUUCAUGUCCCCACAUGGGGAGUUGGAGUUGACAGAGGGAGCUCAUCUGCGCUCCAACUGGCAACCUUCAGGUCAGCAACCCAACUUUCAGGUCAGCAGUCCUGUCGGCACAAGGGUUUAACCCAUUGCGACACAGGGCUCCUAUUUAUGGUAGAAUCACCCCAAUUGAGAGUUAUUUUGAGCCUAACAGCUCAAAUUCUCCAACAAUGGGUUAUGGGCCCAGCAGGCUUUCUCUGCGCCACUCUGCUAUAUUUAUGGUGGAAUCACCCAACCGAGGGUUAUUUUGAGCAUAACAGCUCAGAUAGCCCAACACUUUCCUGUUUCCUCUCUUAUCCAGCUUUCUUAGAUCCCUAGUUCUAUUCCUCCUGCAAGAAGGAUUGAUGCUGACUGGCCUCCUUCAGGCAUGGCACCCCCCCUCUCUCUCUCCCUCCCCCCCUCUCUUCCCCAUUCCCUCUUUUCCCCGAGAUUCCUACAGCCUUAUUCCUCUGUAUAUCUGAAAUCGGGUGUUUUUCCAUGACGUACAGAGAGGAAGAGGAGGAGGCAGAAUCCCAAGGAGAGGCUGAGGUCUUCUCAGGCCAAGAGGACAGGGCCACCGGGGUCCAAGAGGAGGAGGCCAAGAUCCCGUCUGGGCUUUGUUUGGGACACAACGCCAGCUUUGCCCUCCUCAAGGCGCCGCCUCGCCUCUUCCCCUUGGUCUGGCCCCAAGCAGAGGAAAAAUUGCCUCACUAACUCUUUAUUCCUGUCCUCCCCCCUCCUCCGAGUUAUAGCUCCUCUGAUUAAUAUCGAGUCACUUUUAGGAGAGGAAAGCGGAGUGGAGGUAAUAAUAAUUAUAGUAGUCAUAAUAGUAGUAAUAAUAAUGAAAAUAAUAAUAAUACUAAUAAUGAAAAUAAUUAUAAUUAUAAUGAAAAUACUAACAAUAAUAUAAAUAAUAAUGAAAAUAGUAAUAGUAAUAAUGAUAAUAAUAAUAAAAAUAGUAACAAUAAUAUUGAAAAUAGUAAUAAUGAUGAUGAAAGUAAUAGUAAUAAUUAUGAAAAUAAUAAUAUUAAUAAUGAUAAUGAACAUGAUAAUAAUGAACAUAAUAAUGCUAAUAAGAAUGAGAAGAGUAAUAAUAAUAACUUUAUUUUUAUACCCCACCCCAUCUCCCCGAAGGUUUACAUGGGGCCUUGCCUGACACAACAAUAUAAUAACAGCAACAAGACAAUAAAACAAUAAUAAUAAUUAUAAUAAAAAUAAUGAAUAAUAAUAAAAAACUAGUAAUAAUAAUAAAUGAAAAUAGUAAUAAUGAUGAUGAAAAUAGUAAUAAUAAUGAAAAAGUAAUAAUAAUUAAAAUUGUAAUAAUAAUGAUGACAAUAAUAAUAAUGAAAAUAAUAAUAAUAAUAAUUCAUUUUGUUUUCGAGGUUCCCUUUGGUAGGGGUCUCAUCCCCACGAGGGGGUUCCCUUCCCUCCCUCCUUCCCCUUCUCUUCCCUUUCUUUUCCUCCGUUUAAUCCUUCCCGCAUAUAAAAGAAACUGUUAAUCACCUAUUGAAGAAGAGGGGAAACCCAAGGUUUUCUCUUCCUUGCUUCCUUCCUUCCUUCCCUUCAUCAGUUUGUAAUGAGGUGGACAGUUCUCUCUCCCCUUUCCCGGCUCCUCCAGCCUGGGAUGAUAAUUAAAAUUUAAUGAAGCCCAAGACGAGAGAGAGAGAGCAGGCUUCGUCUGGGGACUCGGGAAGAGAAUAUUUUAACUGUACAUUUACACCCAGCGUCUGGCUUCAAAGACGUGACUGCUUUGAAUCUCGAAUUAGACAAACCACAGAGCCUGGGAUGAAAUCCGAGGCGCCUUUUUAUUUUUCCGGGGCCUUGGCCUUCCUGGAGGAGAGUCACGGAAGGGUUUCCCUUUCGGGGCCAGGAAUGCACACAAAAACACACACACACACACAUAGGCGCGUCUCCAAUUGCGUUUGUUUUUUAAAUAGGGGAUUUGUGGUGCUUUGGGUUGUUACUCCUCCUCUUUUUCUAAACGGGGUUAAUGCAAUAUUAAUCUGUUGUGGCUGUUGUCAGAGUGCGGAGGGUUUUUUUCAGGAACAAAUCGAUGGUAUGAGGCUGAGGGAUACGGAAGAAGGGCGGAAGAGAAACACAGAGGCGCACAACUUCUCAGUCCCUGGCCUGGGCUUUUCCUCCUCCAAAAAGGCUCUCAAGACUUAGAUUUCUACUGACUGCCAGCCCUGAGAAUAUUCCCGCUUCCAAGUUUUUGGUUGGUUAUAAGGAUGAGCAAGCAAGGAGGAGAGGGAGGCCCCAACGACACGGACCAUUUAAUGCAGUUUCAAACCAAUAUUGAAGAAAGUGGCUUCUCUCUGCAGAUGAUUACAGAGGAAAUCCUGAAAUCAGUUUAAGAUCCAGAUGUUUGGGGUUUGGCUACAUCACUAGAGUCUGUUGAAGUCAUGUUUUGUGUCUGUAAAGGAGCUUCUGGACCAUCAUCUCCUCUUCCUGGAAAGCCAGGUAUUUCACUGAAGGAGAAAGAAUAUCGCAUGCAACCAGCCAUGGCUUUUAUAUCUGGCUGUUUGAUAGUGAUUACCAGGUUUAAGGUGCAGUGAACCAUUCCGAAUGCCACUUUAUACCACAGCUCAAAUGGGAGUAAUUGCUACUAGGUCUUCAAAUGGCAUAUGUAUAGAUUAGGCAACAGACCUCUGAGUAGUGACAACACAUAACUGAUAUAAUUCACAUGAUGCCAGAAAUUUCUAAAAUGCCAGGAACAUUCCAAAUGGAGAGUUUGCGGUGCAUCAAGGCACACUUACAGGAAAUGUUGCAGGUGUUUAAUGUGGGUUUCUUCUCCUGUGCAGGCAGGAAACAAAAAGAUUUCACAAGAGCUUCAGAUUCUGUGGCUUUUUCAUUUGUCAUUGUACAGACAACCAAAAGCACAAUGCAAAUAAUUCAGGGCUGUUGAUCAUCAGUAUUCAGCUGACGCUGCACCAUCUAUCAGUAGAGGUUGACUAGAUGCUUGGUGAUGCAAGAAGGACAAAGUGGUAUCAAAUUCUUCUUUUAUAUAACCAAGUAAUGUAACUAAUAAAUGUACAUUGGUCAUCUACUUCAGUUGGGAACUACUGUAUUAAAGUGUACACUAUUGUUUAUGCAAAUAUCUAAACCAAAAGAAAUGCAGAAUACUAUACAGUCAGCCCUCCACACCCAGUUUUUUAAUUUGUGAUUUUCAUUUUUGUGAGGGUCCUGUGCCCCUUAACUUCAGUAGGGGCACAGGAUGAAAAUCGUAAAUUAAAAAACUGCUGUAAGUUGACCAUAGAAUUGCACUGGGAAAGUUAGAGAUUCUUAGAGAGUCAUUCCCUAUAGGAAUUUCUAGGUCUUCCAGUGUGAUUCAGUGGUAGUCAGAACUUUGUAAUCAAAUCCGUGAAUAAUGAAAUCUGCAAAAGUCAAACAUGCAAACAUAGAGGGCAAACUGUACAUUGAAUCCUGAAUAUAUUGCACAUCUCAAGUUUAUAAAACACAGAAUGUUAAAAACCUCUCCUAUCUCAAAGACAUUGAGCCUUUUUUGUUAAUUUAUGACAGAGAUACCAUAUGACAUUAAAUCAUGCUUAACAACUGAAAUCUUACAGUUAAUCUUGACUUGGCCUGGAGAGAAAUGAUUUCAUAUGUUGUGAAUUAACUAUUCAUGGUGUUGGCUUUGCUUUGAUGGACUAAGUAGAGAUGGAUGUCGAUGAGAAGCUGCCCUUUACUUUUAGAUUUUUGUGUUCUGCUUCACGACUAUUCUCUUUCAACUUUCUUUUGCACCAACAUAUUGUAAGAAGAAACAGAGUGAAGAAACCUUUUGCUUUGAUGCUCAUCUUGUACAUUCAGUUUGUAAAAAUAAUGCACUUUUUGAAGCUGUAAGUAGCAGUCGGCAUAUGAUAAUAUUUGGAUGAUUUUUUAAAAAACAUAUUCUGCCACUAUGGAAGAAGAAUUGAAGACCAUCAUCCUGUAAUUUCCAAGUGUUUAAUAGUCUGUGGUGUGGGCUGUUUGACACUUAACUACUUGUUCAUGGGGUUAUCCACAGCUAUGUAAAGAAAAUCAUUUCAGGGUGGGGUGGCCUAAGGAAUUGAUUUGUCUGAUGCAAAUUCUUCCCCUUGCUCUUCCCAGGCAAAGUAAAUAGCCCUCAAAGGCAGCCAAGGUUUUUUUUUUCUUUACAUGAGACUGAAAAUCCAACAAAUAGGUAUCUUAAUAUUGUCAGUAAAUAUACAAUAAUUCAAUUCCAUGAUUCCAUUGCACUGAACCAUGGCUGUUGAAGGGGUAUCAAAAUGAAUUGAUUCUAGAGUAGAUGCAUAUUUGAAAGACCCUGGAAAUUAGUAUCUGGAAAAGUAAGCUUUCUGAGAAUUGUAGAGCAGGAAUGCUCCCUGAGCCCUAUGGGCUUGUGGUAACUAUCAUAUUUAAUUGUGAAAGAGUUGCAUUUCUCCUCUUUUUAAUCAAAUAAAGGAGAUGAGACUAUUACGUGGUGGCAACUAUUAUGUGGUGAAUUUUUUUUGCGUUGAGGGUAAUUCCAUAGCUGCAAUGGGCACAGGCAUGCAUGCAGGUGAGGCUUCACCCAUCCACAUGCUUGUCCCUUGGAGUUAUGGUGCUUUCCUUGCAUGUGACUAUUAUGCAAGAAACAUCUAAAGUACCAAUUUUUGCGCCCCAAAAUGGAGUGUGACAUAUGCAGUGGUAAUUAUUAUAUGAUCAAAUACAGUAUACAUAUUUAAUGUAUACGUAUAUAAUGUCAGAAACAUUACGAUGCCAUAGUAUAAAGCAGAGUUUGUGGACAUGUUUAAGAUGGGAAAUCCUAUCAGCCCUCAUCUAUAUGGUCAGUUGUCAGAGCGAGGAGGCAUCUGGAAGGUCAUAGCUUCUCUCCUUCUGUAUUUCGAUCUAGUUUGUAGUUCAGUUCUCUCAUUCUUCUGGAAGUCCUUGGAUAUGGCUACAAUGUUGCUCCAUGCAGUCAUGCAGGCCACAUGACCUUGGAAGUGUCUACAGACAACGCCGACUCUUCAUCUUCGAAAUAGAGAUGAGCACUAACCCCCGGAGUCGGACACGAGUAGACUUAACGUUAAAGGGAAACCUUUACCUACUAAUGCAAUGUCUUACUAAGUUAUAUUUUUCACAGGGUUUACACAUAGCUUUUUUCACUUUCAUGCCUUCCAGAUGUGCUGGAUUAGUUUCUUUCACCACAGCCAGUAUGGCCAUGGAUAGAAUGGGUGUUGCUCUGACAUCUGUAUUACUGUGAAAUACUCCUGGGUUACCAUGAUUCAGAGUAUUUUAUUCUGAAGAAAGAAAGUGAACACAAAAAGAGAGACAGCUAACAGCUCGCUGAUCUUUUGUUCAUAAAACAAUUAUAGAUCUACUUGAACAAUGGAGAGUGCUCAGGCAAAGAUAUAUGUUCCUCUAGAGAUUCUUUCAUACCGCUUUCCUGUAAAGCAUCUUUGACUCAAAUCAGUUUUUGCUACAGCUGUUCUAAUUCUGUCUGCUUAAAUGCGACUUGUAGCUAUUUGAUGCCCUUUUUAUGAAAUGGAAUCUCCGGGCGAAGACAGGCACUAAACACAAGUCGUCAGAGCCGUUGAUGUCUCAUUUUUUGUAAUAAAAAUUGCCAUGGUUCCCAGAAUUGUUUUAUAUUCAUAAGGAGCCACCUUGUCAAAACAAUAAAUAAAAAUAAAUCUUUUGACUUGGUAA